CAAGUUUAAGAAGACCAACCGAACUGAUCCGGUCAACUUUGUUCCAUAUGUAAAUCGGAUUUACCAGUACUUUUCGUUCGGUUCUCGGUUUGCCCAAACUGGGGCCACUCAAAAUUAGAUUUAUGGUUCCGUUCGCAAUUUUAGACACAUUUUUAUUUUGAAUCGGUCGUUUGUUGAACACGUUCUCUCUCAAUUAGUUUAGGGUUCAUCGUUCUCUCUUCUCGCGCUAGAUCUCUCUCUCAGGUUCGUUUCUUUCUCUUAGGCCAUUUAUCAGAUGAUCCUCUUCGUUCUCAGAUUUUCGUCCGGCGUUCGUCCUCGGUUUCUCGGCAGACUUAGAAAAUUGGUUUCCGUUUAGUGAGUCUGUUUGGGGUAUUACGAAUGAUAUUUUGUACUGGGCUUUGAGCAGUUUCUCACUUUAUUAUAAGGGGAAUGCUGCUUAGGAAGCUAAAUCUGAUACGUCUAAAUUCGUUUGUAUUUCUAGUCACUUGUUAAUGUAUAUGAUUAUAGUCUUCUUCUUUCUGGGAAUAUAUGCAUCUGAAAAUUUAUUUGUUUGGCUUUUCUUUAUAAAGUAUGUGGACAUAUACAUUCGAUAGCUAAUCCUUGAUUUUUUUUUUUUUUUUUUUUUUUUAUAUAUUGUUUGAAUCUGUUUUUUAAAUUUCAAGAUGGUGUUUCUUGGAUGAAUUGCAUACUGUUGAAUUAGAAGUUUAUUGGUUAGAUUAUUUAUAUUUGCCCUAAGUUCUGUGGAUGAGUUUGUGUCUUUGACCUUUUCGUUUGCCUUUUCUUUUGGCUGAGGGCAUUUUACAUAGCCUCUGCUCUGAAAGGUGCAGUGAUUCUUUUUCCUGGCUUUUCUCAAUUUUCACAAUUUAGAUUUGUCUAAAACUAAAUAUCUACCCAUGAUACUAUUUUUUGUUAAUUUGAGUUUUUCAGGAUGGCUGCUAAGUCGCUAGAGAAUGAAAAAUCUUGAACAUUGUGUUCUGAAGUUCAAGGAACUUGUGAACAUUAGCUAUGGUGGUUGAGUAGACACGUAAGGAAGCUUUACACAUUGAGAACAUCUCCAUAUGGUCUCUGACAUGCCUCUCAAAAAAUGGUGAUGCAGUAUGAGUACUUCAUAUUGUCUGGAACGUCAAGGAAAGCUUUCAUGUCAUUGAUGUUAUGCAUAAGUAUACGCAUUAAGCGAUACCUAUCCAUCAAUGUCAGCUCAGGGAUGACUUCCGACUGUCGGACAACCUCUUGACGUGUUUGGCUUGCGUCUUGACGUUGUAGGACAGGUCAUUCAACAAUGCGGUUCAGUUGUUCAUUUUCGUACUCAAUUGCAGUGCAAACUAUGUCCUCACUAUCUGCGACAUGUCCUGCACGUUUUUGCUUAGAUCUGCUUGAAACAUUUCUACGUUCACUGACCCGAGCGGUUCUUGUUCCCAUCAAAUCAUCAGGCGACAUGUUCAAUCCCUGACUGUACAUUGUCGGGAAGUCUGUAUCCGUCGCAGCGUCAGCGGCAAAUGCGUCAUACCCAGUAAGAUCGUUUGAUCCAACGUUCGCAAAACUCUCGGCCUGGCCUUCCGUUGCACGAUCUUUGCCAAACACAUACGACAGUUCGUCAUAGUGGGGGAACGACUUAUUAAGGAGGUCCUUCGUCGUCGAAUGACUCUGUAUAAGUGCAAUAAUAAAUUGUUAGUCCAUUUAUUGAAAUAUAGUACAGUAAGUGUUCAAAUGACUAGUAACGCACCUUGACCCAAUUGUCGACGAUGCAUUUUUGUUCAUCAUUCCACCCAAAACCACUGUACGUUGGGCCACGCAUCUCCGCAAGUGCAUGGAACAUUCUCUUCAUCAAUUUGAUUCGGCUAACGAUCGUUGAAGCAUAGAUAUUACAACCUAGGAUCUUGAAGGCCAUCAUUCUCGCCAGCUGAUUUAAGUACCCGGGGCGAAAGGUCCCGUUGUCGGACCUCCACCUACCAGCAUUGACCAACUCCACGAGGCACUCGACGAGGCCUUCCUCUUCCUCAUUAGUCUAACUGUGUUUAGGUAGUCUCGAUGAACUUGUCAUGUUAGAAGUCAAACGCAAACAUA